UACAGAGGUCUCAAGCGUUGUUCGGAUUCAUUGGGCGUAAAGGGUGCGUAGGUGGCGCCGUAAGUCAGGUGUGAAAUUUCGGAGCUUAACUCCGAAACUGCAUUUGAUACUGCGGUGCUUGAGGACUGGAGAGGAGACUGGAAUUUACGGUGUAGCGGUGAAAUGCGUAGAUAUCGUAAGGAAGACCAGUGGCGAAGGCGGGUCUCUGGACAGUUCCUGACGCUGAGGCACGAAGGUCAGGGGAGCAAACGGG
rnacentral:rRNA from 1 species